UGCGCAGGCGGUUCUGUAAGUCAGAUGUGAAAUCCCCGGGCUUAACCUGGGAAUUGCGUUUGAAACUACAGGGCUAGAAUGUAGCAGAGGGGGGUGGAAUUCCAUGUGUAGCAGUGAAAUGCGUAGAGAUAUGGAAGAACAUCGAUGGCGAAGGCAGCCCCCUGGGUUAACACUGACGCUCAGGCACGAAAGCGUGGGGAGCAAACA
rnacentral:rRNA from 1 species